CAGAUGGGGGCAAGGUGGAUCCACAGGUAAAGCGUUGGGCUCACAGUUCUGAGGACCCAGGUUCAAUCCUCGCCCUGCCUAUGUGGAGUUUGCAUGUUAUUCCUGUGCCUGUGGGAGGGUUGGCAGUCUUCCAGUACCAGCCGUGUUUGCAGUGAUCUCUCGAUAGAAAAUGGCGGCACAGUGAAUCCACUGGUAAAGCGUUGGCCUCACAGUUCUGAGGACCCGAGUUUGAUCCCGGCCCCUCCUGUGUGGAGCUUGCAUGCUUCUCCCCGUGCCUGUGUGAGUUUUCUCCGGGCACUGCGGUUUCCUCCCACAUCCCAAAAACAUGCAAUAUUAAUUGGACACCCUAAAUUGACCCUUGGUGUGAUUGUGAGUGUGGCUGUUUGUCUCGAUGUGCCCUGCGAUUGGCUGGCAACCAGUUCAGUGUGUACCCCGCCUCCUCCCCGUUGACAGCUGGGAUAGGCCCCAGCAAUCCCUGUGACCCUUGUGAGGAUAAUUGGCAGGGUUCAUACUCAGUCUGAUAAAAAAAAUUUAAGGGCUUUUUAGGGGCAUUCUUAGGGGCCGACACGAAAAAUUUAGGGCUGACACGGAAAAAAUUUAGGGCCGACACGAAAAAUUUAGGGCCAUCGUGGGAAAUCAAGAGUAAGGAAAAAAGACUCACCCAAUGGUGCCAUCAACUGUUCUUGGUUCAUCAAAUGUUCCAGUACCUCAGUACCUGUGACAGUGAUCACCUGUCGCCCCUUGUGGUAGUUCUCAUUGAUAUGACCAUUGUCAAUGUCUUCACAUAACAGUCUACAGAAAAACAGAUUCUAACUACAAUUGCAACUAUAUACACAAAUGUCUUCUACUGAUGUCUGUCUCAGCACCCCUACGAGUCCAGCUCCUUGAGCCUACCCAGUGCCUCCUCUAUUUGUUGCUGCAGAGGUGCCAAAGAGGCUCUCUUGUCCUUUGCUCUGCCUCUGAGUGCAUUGGCCUCGGUGAUAAACCUCAGAUUUCCCUUUUCUUCUGCCUCCUCACACAGCCUGUCAGCCUUCUCAAUAAGCGUCGAUAUGUCAGUCUCUAUUCUGGCUUUUUUGGCUUUGAGGCAGGAGAGAUGAAAAGUGGGCAGCGAUGCUAAAUGUAGCCAGGUACGAAGUUUUCCUUUCCCCACAGUGGUAGUUUUUAGCAAUGUCACUGUCUGGGAACAUGACUGCGAACACUUUCGAAUUAUUUUCACAAGAUUUGUAACUGUAAUGGUUGCAGAUCACUAUUAACGUCCACACGAUCUCUGCCUUUAACGAGUCCGUCUUCCUGUAUUGAACUACGUUCAUAAAGCCUGACUUCUGGCUGGACAACUGUUGGUGCGCAUUAGGGAUCGCAACGGGGUACAAAUAACCGGUUUUCAUUUUUUUUAAAACCGAAAACGUAAUCGGACUUUCGAAAUCGGUUAAAAUUUCCAAUCAUUUCUUCCGGUUCCGGUACUCCACAUUGCGCUAUUUUUUCAACAUCAUUUCCACUUUUUUCAAGUUUCAACUGUUCGGUUAAAACUGGUUAUGAAAGUAAGUGUUUUUUUUUGCGAUCCCUAGUGCGCAUGCACUGCUAGUACCACUGCCUGAAGUUGAUGCUUCACUAUCUUUAUAUUUUAGAAACAGAUUCAUACCGUUUUUCCGGUGCGACUCCAGCGCUUUGACGCCCAUUUUUUCAAGCUGGUAACUCUGCUUGCACAAAUGGCAGUAAAACAUG